GGGGGACUAACUCAGCGGGAGAGUGCUACGUUCGCAACGUAGAAGUCGGGGGUUCGAAUCCCCUGUCCUCCACCA
rnacentral:tRNA from 1 species